AAUCUGGGGUCCCCGAGCCCCGAGUUGUAAUUUGGAGAGGCAUCUUCGGGGGGGAGCGUCGGCCCAUGUUCCUUGGAACAGGACGUCGCAGAGGGUGAGAAUCCCGUGCCUGGCCGGCUGCCUCCUCCCGGGUGAAGGGCCUUCGACGAGUCGAGUUGUUUGGGAAUGCAGCUCCAAGUGGGUGGUAAAUUUCAUCUAAAGCUAAAUACCGGCGGGAGACCGAUAGCGCACAAGUAGAGUGAUCGAAAGAUGAAAAGCACUUUGAAAAUAGAGUCAAAAAGUACGUGAAAUUGUUGAAAGGGAAGCGCUUGAGACCAGACUCAGGCCCGGGCAAACACCGCGCCCCCCGGGGCCGUGCAAUUGCCUGGGGCUGGGCCAGCAUCAGUCGGCGUGGCGGGACAAAGGCGCGGGGAAUGUGGCUCCGCUCGCGGAGUGUUAUCAGGCCCGCGCUCAAUGCCGCCCACGCCGACUGAGGACCGCGCCUCGGCUAGGAUGCUGGCAUAAUGGCCUUCAGCGACCCGUCUUGAAACACGGA
rnacentral:rRNA from 1 species